rnacentral:tRNA from 1 species
AGCCCGCUAUCGGAGUCAAACCGAUGACCAUCGCAUUACAAGUGCGGUGCUCUGACCUCU